GUGGGUAGUUUGACUGGGGCGGUCUCCUCCCAAAGAGUAACGGAGGAGCACGAAGGUUGGCUAAUCCUGGUCGGACAUCAGGAGGUUAGUGCAAUGGCAUAAGCCAGCUUGACUGCGAGCGUGACGGCGCGAGCAGGUGCGAAAGCAGGUCAUAGUGAUCCGGUGGUUCUGAAUGGAAGGGCCAUCGCUCAACGGAUAAAAGGUACUCCGGGGAUAACAGGCUGAUACCGCCCAAGAGUUCAUAUCGACGGCGGUGUUUGGCACCUCGAUGUCGGCUCAUCACAUCCUGGGGCUGAAGUAGGUCCCAAGGGUAUGGCUGUUCGCCAUUUAAAGUGGUACGCGAGCUGGGUUUAGAACGUCGUGAGACAGUUCGGUCCCUAUCUGCCGUGGGCGCUGGAGAAUUGAGGGGGGCUGCUCCUAGUACGAGAGGACCGGAGUGGACGCAUCACUGGUGUUCGGGUUGUCAUGCCAAUGGCACUGCCCGGUAGCUAAAUGCGGAAGAGAUAAGUGCUGAAAGCAU
rnacentral:rRNA from 1 species